UGUGGCAGCUCUCCCUGUGGGUCAUGGGCUAAAGUGAGUCACAACGGUUGCUUUCUGAUCCACCAAAUGUUGGUAUAAACAUCAUAUGUACAAAGAUUUAUGAGUAGCAAGAACAAGAAAUCAAGAAAUGGUUUUGUCCCAUAUUUCAGGAAUAAGAGCUUUCUUGCGAAGAUGGAUCUUACUGGGAUGUUAAGGAGGAGUCAAGAAAAAAAGGAACCUUUGAAUCCAUGCUUGGGCUGGAGUUUGAAGACAACAGUAAGGAAUGGGGGCAUAGUGGCAUCUAAUGGAACAAAAGUUAAAAAAAAAAAAGUGAGAAAUUGGAGAAACCAGCAAGAGUCGGUUUACAGCUACAGACACGUGACAGGAACAGAAGUCCCUGUGCUGUGUGCUGAUUGACCAGUUAAGUAGAUAGUGUGCAGUGACUGAAGGAGAAAUACCUCUCCAUUAGAUUCGGCAGUAGUCCUUGGGAGCGCACGACUGACCCAACACAUCGAUUCAACGCACAAAAACAUUUCUGAAGUUUCAACCUUCUAUCGAAUGGCAAGCCUGGUGCAUCUGAAGGUCUGGAAGUGGGGCCACGUCAUCCAUCUAACCUGAGCAAUGUUCUGAGCCCUGGCAUAGAAAGCACUUAGCAGGUGCCACCUCCAUCCUUGCCUAGCCAGAGGAGAGCCCAGCUCCCCAACAACUGAUGAAGUUUGUUUCUACUAGUUAGGGCCCACUUCUCUCUAUUAUGAUAAAUGGCCACGGGUAAAAUUGCUAUCUGAUCACCACUCACCACCAAGCUCUCCGCAGAAGGGGAGUGAAGCCUGAGGAAUCACGAGGUGGUACAGAAGCCUUAGAAGACAGCCAGUCAUUUCACCCAAUCACCCUUUGUGUGCUGUAAUAA